rnacentral:rRNA from 1 species
AGAGAGAGACAUGCGCGCAUAUCAAUAAGCGGAGGAAAAGAAACUAACUAGGAUUCCCUCAGUAACGGCGAGUGAAGCGGGAAGAGCUCAAAUUUGAAAUCUUAAAGGUUUCCCUUGACGAAUUGUAGUUUAAAGAAGUGUUUUCUGUUGGAGUUUUGGUAAAAGUUCUUUGGAAUAGGACAUCAUAGAGGGUGAGAAUCCCGUAUUUGACCAUUUACUUUCAGCUUUGUGAUACACUUUCAAAGAGUCGGAUUGUUUGGGAAUGCAGUCCAAAAUGGGUGGUAAAUUUCAUCUAAAGCUAAAUAUUGGCGAGAGACCGAUAGCGAACAAGUACCGUGAGGGAAAGAUGAAAAGAACUUUGAAAAGAGAGUUAAACAGUACGUGAAAUUGUCAAAAGGGAAGCGUUUGACACCAGUGUUGUUUUCUCGAAAAUCAAUUAAAAAAGGCAGGAUUUUGUGUUGUAUUGACUUUAUCAGCUUUCUGCACUCUUUUCUUGUCUUUUUUAAUGCACUUUUCGUUUAACAAGUCAACAUCAAUUUCUUUUGUUGUAAAAGGGUCAUUGGAAGGUGGCUUUCUUUUCGGAGAAAGUGUUUAUAGCCUUUGGCCUCUGCAAUCGGAGAGAUUGAGGUCUGCAGCGUAGAUCCUUCGGGGCUAGAUACAUUUGUGCUAAGUUAUAGCCUUUUCAUAGACAACUUGUUGACUAUGAUCAGUCAUGUAGCUUACUCGCUUAUGCUAUUUUACCUACGCUUAGGAUGUUGAUGUGAUACUGCGAGC